CAGAGCCCCAAGAGAUUCCCAAAGAAACUGCUGCUCUGAGGUUAUUCAUCUGAUGGGAAGACGCUGGUGAGAAAAGACAACAUUUCUGACAAAUGUGGUAGGACUAACGAGCCCUCGGAAUGGGAGGAAAAUGGAACUUCCAUCAGCAGUGCUUUCAGCUAGCUGGGUACUUCAGAGGUGACGAGGGUGAACUCAGCCCAAUAGGAGAGCUGACUCCAUGGUGAGUGGCAGCCAGCCAGCCAAUGAGAAUGAGUCAAGGAGAAAGAAGGUGGGUCCUUAGAGCUGCUGCAAAAACUCACUUCAUAAUUUGUGAAACCUGCCUCACAGCCUGGAAUUGAGAACCUGGGAAGCCAGCUGCUCCUUUCCUACCUGGGUGUUCUUAAAAAUACAAUUAUGUAAAGUUUAAAAAUUAAAAAAAAAA
rnacentral:lncRNA from 1 species